rnacentral:rRNA from 1 species
UACGUAGGGGGCAAGCGUUGUCCGGAAUCAUUGGGCGUAAAGCGCGUGUAGGCGGCUCGGUAAGUCUGCUGUGAAAGCCCCCGGGCUCAACCCUGGGAAUGGCGAUGGAUACUGGCUCGCUAGAGUGCGGUAGAGGAGAGUGGAAUUCCCGGUGUAGCAGUGAAAUGCGUAGAGAUCGGGAGGAACAUCAGUUGCGAAGGCGGCUCUCUGGACCAGCACUGACACGUGAGCACGAAAGCGUUGGGGAGCAAACAG